AGAGUUUGAUCCUGGCUCAGGAUGAAACGCUGGCGGCGUGCCUAAUACAUGCAAGUCGAGCGAACGGACGAGAAGCUUGCUUCUCUGAUGUUAGCGGCGGACGGGUGAGUAACACGUGGAUAACCUACCUAUAAGACUGGGAUAACUUCGGGAAACCGGAGCUAAUACCGGAUAAUAUUUUGAACCGCAUGGUUCAAAAGUGAAAGACGGUCUUGCUGUCACUUAUAGAUGGAUCCGCGCUGCAUUAGCUAGUUGGUAAGGUAACGGCUUACCAAGGCAAUGAUGCAUAGCCGACCUGAGAGGGUGAUCGGCCACACUGGAACUGAGACACGGUCCAGACUCCUACGGGAGGCAGCAGUAGGGAAUCUUCCGCAAUGGGCGAAAGCCUGACGGAGCAACGCCGCGUGAGUGAUGAAGGUCUUCGGAUCGUAAAACUCUGUUAUUAGGGAAGAACAUAUGUGUAAGUAACUGUGCACAUCUUGACGGUACCUAAUCAGAAAGCCACGGCUAACUACGUGCCAGCAGCCGCGGUAAUACGUAGGUGGCAAGCGUUAUCCGGAAUUAUUGGGCGUAAAGCGCGCGUAGGCGGUUUUUUAAGUCUGAUGUGAAAGCCCACGGCUCAACCGUGGAGGGUCAUUGGAAACUGGAAAACUUGAGUGCAGAAGAGGAAAGUGGAAUUCCAUGUGUAGCGGUGAAAUGCGCAGAGAUAUGGAGGAACACCAGUGGCGAAGGCGACUUUCUGGUCUGUAACUGACGCUGAUGUGCGAAAGCGUGGGGAUCAAACAGGAUUAGAUACCCUGGUAGUCCACGCCGUAAACGAUGAGUGCUAAGUGUUAGGGGGUUUCCGCCCCUUAGUGCUGCAGCUAACGCAUUAAGCACUCCGCCUGGGGAGUACGACCGCAAGGUUGAAACUCAAAGGAAUUGACGGC
rnacentral:rRNA from 1 species